ACUGUCAAAAGAGUAAAUAUGCAGUUAAAGCAAAGCAAAAAUUAUGUUAUGUGUAUGCAAAGGAUGUGUUGACUGAAAGCCAAUGCCAAUAUUGGUUUGUAAAAUUUCGUUCCAACAAUUUCGAUCUUGAAGAUAUACCACGUCCUUGAAAGACUCCUGAAUAAACAAAAACGAAUAACAACUCGAGAGAUUGCUGAAAGAUUAAAUAUGUCAAACGCCACCAUUCACAAGCACAUACAAUUUAUAGGAUUAAUUUGGAAGCUUAUUAGUGGGGUUCCUCGUUUUUUACAGAACGAAGUUUGCUUCAUCGCAUUAACGACUUGUGAUUUGCUUAUCAAGCGUCAAAGAAGUGAUCCAUGAUUCGUUGGAACAAUACGGUCUAUAGAUGUGAAACAUAUAUGUAUAAUUUAAUUCGUUAUUGAUCUUGUUGACAUUAUCGAAGAUCAUUUUCAGUAUGCUGAUGUAAGUUGCGGGAGUGAUUACACAAUAUUUGGUGGACGACAAAAUCAAAUUUUCUUCAUUAUUUUGUGUAUGAACUCAAUUGUUUGUAAUGCGAUAUAUUGGAGUAUCCUCUUACCGGAAAUGGGGUUACAAUAUCCGGCGUUGAAAUUUAAAUUAAAAAUACAUCUACGCUCCUAGCUCUUCAUUGUGUACACCCCGACGAAAGUAUGCUCAGUUUAAAUCUAACACAUUCGCUGACCAGAAACUAUUACCAUGCCGCACUCUUAGCUAUUUCAUUUAAAAUAGCUGCGUAUCAACCUGCACUAUAGCUUCGUGUCUCAUAACUUCGAAUCCCCUACUCGAACAGUUUUGGAAAAAGGUGUAAGAAAAAUAAAGUUCGUAAGCGGUUCCGCAAGCGCACAUUUAAUAAAGCUUAAAUGAAAUUUCUCCAUCCCCAUUCCACCUCGCCGUGCCCCAACAUUGUAUCGCAAAAACAACAUCAGCAAUAAUAGCAUAGCACACUACGAUCAGCCACAACGUAACGCCACCAAUGACCAAAAGUGUGCAACGUAAAAAGAAAAAAAACAUGUAAUGCUCAUAAAAGUAAAAUUGGUUUCGAAAACAGUGGAAAAGGCCUCACAACACAUGCACCAAUAUUACCGAUCAGUAAUAUCAGAGAGUAUCGGCAAAAAUCCGAAACAUGAAUAUAUUGGUCAACAAACAACAGAGACUACCACCUGUAUGUAUGCAUAUUCAUAAGUACAUGUGGAAAUGUAAAGUGGAAAUAGUUGGAUGUCUCAUGGGAUCUGGUGCGUUGGAUGGUCCGGCAUUUGAAGGCGCAGUACCGUAAAACCAGUGACUGGCUCGCGUCAACGGGCGCAGGACUUCAAGAUGAAUCUGACGCAAGAACCGUAGAAGCUGAGGAAAAAAUUUAGAAAGCGGUUACCGGCCACGCAACCGUUACUGAACAGUUGGCGGCUAUCCAAGCUGAAAAAAUUGCUAUGGAAGCGAAAAAGUUGGAAUUUGAGAAAUAUAAAUUCGAAAAAAAUUAGGUACAAAGUUAAAAAAAUUAGAUAUAGAAUUAAAAAAAAUGGAAACUGAUGAUAAAUAGAAGUUAUUAGAAUUACAAAUGAAAGAAAGAAUGGCUAUGUAUGAAAUUGAAAAAAAUAUGAAAAUAAAAAUAAUUAAAUAUACUAAAUUAUA